rnacentral:rRNA from 1 species
GAUGAACGCUAGCGAUAGGCUUAACACAUGCAAGUCGAGGGGCAGCACAAGGUAGCUUGCUAUCUGGGUGGCGACCGGCGCACGGGUGCGUAACGCGUAUGCAACUUGCCCUAUACAGGAGGAUAACCCGUCGAAAGACGGACUAAUACUGCGUAUGCUCACAACUUGGCAUCGAGUGGUGAGGAAAGAAAUUCGGUAUAGGAUAGGCAUGCGUCCCAUUAGCUUGUUGGUGAGGUAACGGCUCACCAAGGCAACGAUGGGUAGGGGAACUGAGAGGUUUAUCCCCCACACUGGUACUGAGACACGGACCAGACUCCUACGGGAGGCAGCAGUGAGGAAUAUUGGUCAAUGGGCGCGAGCCUGAACCAGCCAAGUCGCGUGAAGGAUGACUGUCUUAUGGAUUGUAAACUUCUUUUAUACGGGAAUAACAAGAGUCACGUGUGACUCCCUGCAUGUACCGUAUGAAUAAGCAUCGGCUAACUCCGUG